rnacentral:pre_miRNA from 1 species
UUAGCUCAUAUUUGUAUGGAAUGGGAUCGUUUGCGUACGUUUGCCGCUUGGGGCGCUGUUCCAACUGCAUACAAAAUUGGGCUA